rnacentral:rRNA from 1 species
UACGUAGGGGGCAAGCGUUGUCCGGAUUUACUGGGCGUAAAGAGCGUGUAGGCGGCCACGCAGGUCCGUUGUGAAAACUGGAGGCUCAACCUCCAGCUGUCGACGGAAACCGUAUGGCUAGAGUCCGGAAGAGGAGAGUGGAAUUCCUGGUGUAGCGGUGAAAUGCGCAGAUAUCAGGAAGAACACCAAUGGCGAAGGCAGCUCUCUGGGACGGUACUGACGCUGAGGAGCGAAAGCGUGGGGAGCGAACAGG